CCAUAUCGUUUUGAACCAGAGACCCUGAACAAGAAGAGGCUCCCGAACAAGUUCGAGCUCAACAGGACGUUUCUGAAUGGUGUAUUUGUGGCAAGUGAUCAAAUGCCUACGGAGCAUGUAUGCUGCAGGGAGAUACCACAGACGUUACAGGUGUUUGGCGUACAGAAGCUUCGUGAGCUGGUGUUGGGGCGAUCUGGGUGGUCCUGCCGUCCUGCGUCGUGCUCCCUGAUGCUCAAGGAAGGUAUACGGGGUUCAGACCUGCCCUCCAUUGAACCUCGACACAUAGCUGGCUAUAACUUCCCGCUUGUCAGGUUUCUCAAACUGGGCAGAGAGAUACGCGGGUAUUGGGAUCUUCAGCACCUCAUUCACAUAUGGGGCCGGGUCCUGAAAAACCUCGUGAAAGAUGAGGUCCAACUGGUUAUCCACGUACUCUGUAAUAUAAACAAAAAACAAAAAAACUUUUACAUUGUUUUUAUUUUAUUUUUAUAAUUAUAUUUAUUAUGAAGACCAUUUAAAGACAGCAGUUAAUGUACAUGUUUAAGUUUCACAUACUGUUUGUACAUUGUUUGACUUGGUGGAUUUUUAAAUAAAGCCUGUGACUCACGGCAGGUUGGCUCUGCA